UGGGGGAUAUUGCACAAUGGGCGAAAGCCUGAUGCAGCGACGCCGCGUGGGGGAUGAAGGCUUUCGGGUUGUAAACCUCUUUCGCUAUCGAACAAGGCCCGCUUAGGGUGGGUUGAGGGUAGGUGGAGAAGAAGCGCCGGCUAACUACGUGCCAGCAGCCGCGGUAAUACGUAGGGCGCGAGCGUUGUCCGGAAUUAUUGGGCGUAAAGGGCUUGUAGGCGGCUUGUUGCGCCUGCUGUGAAAACGCGGGGCUUAACUUCGCGCGUGCAGUGGGUACGGGCAGGCUUGAGUGUGGUAGGGGUGACUGGAAUUCCAGGUGUAGCGGUGGAAUGCGCAGAUAUCUGGAGGAACACAGAUGGCGAAGGCAGGUCACUGGGCCAUUACUGACGCUGAGGAGCGAAAGCAUGGGUAGCGAACAGG
rnacentral:rRNA from 1 species